rnacentral:rRNA from 1 species
CACGUAGGGCGCAAGCGUUGUCCGGAAUUAUUGGGCGUAAAGAGCUCGUAGGCGGACUGUUGCGUCCGCUGUGAAAAGCUGGGGCUUAACCUUGGCCUUGCAGUGGAUACGGGCAGACUAGAGGUAGGUAGGGGAGAAUGGAAUUCCCGGUGUAGCGGUGAAAUGCGCAGAUAUCGGGAGGAACACCGGUGGCGAAGGCGGUUCUCUGGGCCUUACCUGACGCUGAGGAGCGAAAGCGUGGGGAGCGAACAGG